AUUGAACGCUGGCGGCAGGCCUAACACAUGCAAGUCGAGCGGAUGAAGGGAGCUUGCUCCUGGAUUCAGCGGCGGACGGGUGAGUAAUGCCUAGGAAUCUGCCUGGUAGUGGGGGAUAACGUCCGGAAACGGGCGCUAAUACCGCAUACGUCCUGAGGGAGAAAGUGGGGGGUCUUCGGACCUCACGCUAUCAGAUGAGCCUAGGUCGGAUUAGCUAGUUGGUGGGGUAAAGGCCUACCAAGGCGACGAUCCGUAAUUGGUCUGAGAGGAUGAUCAGUCACACUGGAACUGAGACACGGUCCAGACUCCUACGGGAGGCAGCAGUGGGGAAUAUUGGACGAUGGGCGAAAGCCUGAUCCAGCCAUGCCGCGUGUGUGAAGAAGGUCUUCGGAUUGUAAAGCACUUUAAGUUGGGAGGAAGGGCAGUAAGUUAAUACCUUGCUGUUUUGACGUUACCAACAGAAUAAGCACCGGCUAACUUCGUG
rnacentral:rRNA from 1 species